rnacentral:rRNA from 1 species
AACGAACGCUGGCGGCAUGCCUAACACAUGCAAGUCGAGCGCCCGUAGCAAUACGGGAGCGGCGCACGGGUGAGUAACGCGUGGGAACCUGCCCAGAGGUCUGGGACAACCGCGGGAAACUGCGGCUGAUACCGGAUGAUUCCUGAGGGACAAAGAUUUAUCGCCUUUGGAGGGGCCCGCGUCGGAUUAGGUAGUUGGUGGGGUAACGGCUCACCAAGCCUAUGAUCCGUAACUGGUCUGAGAGGAUGACCAGUCACACUGGGACUGAGACACGGCCCAGACUCCUACGGGAGGCAGCAGUGGGGAGUAUUGGACAAUGGGGGCAACCUGAUCCAGCAAUGCCGCGUGGGUGAUGAAGGCCUCGGUUGUAAAGCCUUUCGGCGGGGACGAUGAUGACGGUACCCGCAGAAGAAG